GCUUAACGCGAAGAACCUUACCCACCUUUGACAUGUAUGGAAUCCUUUAGAGAUAGAGGAGUGCUCGAAAGAGAGCCGUAACACAGGUGCUGCAUGGCUGUCGUCAGCUCGUGUCGUGAGAUGUUGGGUUAAGUCCCGCAACGAGCGCAACCCUUGCCAUUAGUUGCUACAUUUAGUUGAGCACUCUAAUGGGACUGCCGGUGACAAACCGGAGGAAGGUGGGGAUGACGUCAAGUCCUCAUGGCCCUUAUAGGUGGGGCUACACACGUCAUACAAUGGCUGGUACAAAGGGUUGCCAACCCGCGAGGGGGAGCUAAUCCCAUAAAGCCAGUCGUAGUCCGGAUCGCAGUCUGCAACUCGACUGCGUGAAGUCGGAAUCGCUAGUAAUCGUGGAUCAGAAUGUCACGGUGAAUACGUUCCCGGGUCUUGUACACACCG
rnacentral:rRNA from 1 species